UACGGGGGGGGGUAAGCGUUGUUCGGAAUUACUGGGCGUAAAGGGCUCGUAGGCGGCCAACUAAGUCAUACGUGAAAUCCCUCAGCUUAACUGGGGAACUGCGUGUGAUACUGGAUGGACUUGGAUUUGGGAGAGGGAUGCGGAAUUCCAGGUGUAGCGGUGAAAUGCGUAGAUAUCUGGAGGAACACCGGUGGCGAAGGCGGCAUCCUGGACCAAUAU
rnacentral:rRNA from 1 species